CCCUUAGAGUUUGAUCAUGGCUCAGAACGAACGCUGGCGGCAGGCCUAACACAUGCAAGUCGAGCGCACCUUCGGGUGAGCGGCGGACGGGUUAGUAACGCGUGGGAACAUACCCUUUUCUACGGAAUAGCCUCGGGAAACUGAGAGUAAUACCGUAUAAGCCCUUCGGGGGAAAGAUUUAUCGGGAAAGGAUUGGCCCGCGUUAGAUUAGAUAGUUGGUGGGGUAAUGGCCUACCAAGUCUACGAUCUAUAGCUGGUUUUAGAGGAUGAUCAGCAACACUGGGACUGAGACACGGCCCAGACUCCUACGGGAGGCAGCAGUGGGGAAUCUUAGACAAUGGGCGCAAGCCUGAUCUAGCCAUGCCGCGUGUGUGAUGAAGGUCUUAGGAUCGUAAAGCACUUUCGCCAGGGAUGAUAAUGGCAGUACCUGGUAAAGAAACCCCGGCUAACUCCGUGCCGGCAGCCGCGGUAAUACGGAGGGGGUUAGCGUUGUUCGGAAUUACUGGGCGUAAAGCGUACGUAGGCGGAUUGGAAAGUUGGGGGUGAAAUCCCAGGGCUCAACCCUGGAACUGCCUCCAAAACUAUCAGUCUAGAGUUCGAGAGAGGUGAGUGGAAUUCCAAGUGUAGAGGUGAAAUUCGUAGAUAUUUGGAGGAACACCAGUGGCGAAGGCGGCUCACUGGCUCGAUACUGACGCUGAGGUACGAAAGUGUGGGGGAGCAAACAGGAUUAGAUACCCUGGUAGUCCACACCGUAAACGAUGAAUGC
rnacentral:rRNA from 1 species